GUCAUAUCAUGUUUAAACAGUAGCUCCCUUAAAAUCGCUGAAGUUAAGCAAUGUUGAGCCUGGUCAGUACGUACAUGAGUGACUGCUUGGGAAUACCAGGUGUUGUAA